UACAGAGGGUGCGAGCGUUAAUCGGAAUUACUGGGCGUAAAGCGCGCGUAGGCGGUUUUGUAAGUCGGGUGUGAAAGCCCCGGGCUCAACCUGGGAACUGCAUUCGAGACUGCAUAACUGGAGUAUUGGAGAGGGCAGUGGAAUUUCCGGUGUAGCGGUGAAAUGCGUAGAUAUCGGGAGGAACACCAGUGGCGAAGGCGACUACCUGGCCUGUUCUUGACGCUGAGGCGCAAAAGCUAGGGGAGCAAACGGG
rnacentral:rRNA from 1 species